rnacentral:rRNA from 1 species
AUGAACGCUGGCGGCGUGCCUAAUACAUGCCAGUCGAGCGAACAGACGAGGAGCUUGCUCCUCUGACGUUAGCGGCGGACGGGUGAGUAACACGUGGAUAACCUACCUAUAAGACUGGGAUAACUUCGGGAAACCGGAGCUAAUACCGGAUAAUAUAUUGAACCGCAUGGUUCAAUAGUGAAAGACGGUUUUGCUGUCACUUAUAGCUGGAUCCGCGCCGCAUUAGCUAGUUGGUAAGGUAACGGCUUACCAAGGCAACGAUGCGUAGCCGACCUGAGAGGGUGAUCGGCCACACUGGAACUGAGACACGGUCCAGACUCCUACGGGAGGCAGCAGUAGGGAAUCUUCCGCAAUGGGCGAAAGCCUGACGGAGCAACGCCGCGUGAGUGAUGAAGGUCUUCGGAUCGUAAAACUCUGUUAUUAGGGAAGAACAAAUGUGUAAGUAACUAUGCACGUCUUGACGGUACCUAAUCAGAAAGCCACGGCUAACUACGUG